rnacentral:lncRNA from 1 species
UGAGCCACAGGCUCAUUCGCAACCAUAUAUAUUAUAUGGUACCAAAACACAUUUUGUAAAAGUAUCAGUUAAGAGUCUCAUUACCUUGGUUAAACCCAGAGCAUAAGAAGUGAUUGUUUCUUGAGAGGACAGGCUAUUAUAAUGAACUCUGUAUUGUAAAAGUCUAGAACAAUUGAUGAAGUUUUAUACUUGCAUUGAAUGGAGCUUUUUAUUUUGAAUAGGAUUCUGAACUAAUAUUGGAAUCACAUCAACCAACUUUUGGCAGUUGUUAUAUCUUUCUCAUUUAUGAUAUCCAUCAUCGUCGCCGGCAAACGUACUCUUUUUCAUCACUAGGAAAGGAAAUGGCAUAUACGCUUGUUUGUUGCUUCUAGAUCUUGAAUAGGUUGAAGAUGUGUAGGAAAGUGUAGAAGCAAUUGUUUCCCGUGUUGUAACAUUAAUGGUAAAAACUAAAAAGAAAAGAGUUUCAAGUCAGAAAGAUGAUGAUAGAUAAAAACAUACUAACAAGGAAGAUUAAAGCGUUAUAUCUUAUUUGGACCUGCCACAUUAGUGAAGACUGAAGAGUCCUUAAAUUUAAAGCUCAAUAUGUAUGUCCAUUUGUGUAUGUUAUUUUAGCCGUGAAUCAGGUUAUUCACUCAGGUAAAUGGGCUUUGCACGAUUUGAUCCACCAAUUACCGUGUUUGAUAACGAAAAUUUGCAUAAGUAAAUUUUAGCCGAAAACAAACACGUGACCUCAUUUACUGAGAUUCAUCCAGGUGAAUUGCAACCAAAGGGAGCCUAGUUAAAUUUCCCCGAACCAAAUUGCCCGGUUCCAAAAGUAAAUAUUUUGGUGAAGCCUUCUACCUCUUUUACCAAAGUUUUUAUUAAACACGGGUGAAUUUCUAUUUACCCUGGUUAUAACCCAAAUACUCUAUUAUUAACCGGCUGACCACAUUUGCCGAAAAAUCUACCCAAAAAAUCACCUGUUAUCAAACAAACCCUAAAUACAAUGUCUACGUCACCUAUGAAAUGUUGCGAAGAUUGGAAAAAAUAGUAACACAGCUAAGGAAUCCAGAAAUUUGCACAAGCAUACAUAAGAAAAUUUAUGUUUCUAACAAUUUCAGCCUACAAUAUUGAAAGCUUGUAUUUGAUGGAAUGGUAUGUAAAAUCACCAGUAAAACUAUAAUAAAUUAAUUAACAGAGAAUUAACUUUACAAAGAGCAAGCUAUGUGUGGGGAUUAAAAGUAGAUCAUCAUUAAUGUUGAUCUACUUAGUUUCAAGCCAUACCUACAACCAUAGUUUAAAAUAAAAAUUUCGAUUUCGAGCGAAAUUUCGUUUCUUAAAAUAAAGGCUAAAAUAAAGGCAUAUGCCGAGAUUCUGACACUAGAAAUCACAGUGCAAGCUAAAAUUCGCGAGAUUUCGUAAUACCAAAUUUUCAAAUACUGGCAUAUACCGUAGAAAUUUCGCGAAAUCUGACGAAAUUUUAAACCAUGCCUAGAACAACAUGGGUGAACGUCCAGUAUUCUCACAACAACAACAAAAACAAAUUCAUGUCUGCCAUAUGGAAAAUUAUUUAACAAAACACACUUAUUAAAUUCAACAAAGAAUGACAUUAAAUCAAAUAAUCAAUCAUACUUGUAAUUCUAAACAUAUUCUGCAUAUAUAUAUAUAUAUAAAAACUAAAUUUUACUUGAUUAGAAAUACCUUCAUUAAGCGAGGCCAGAGCAUACGCCGUAAUCGUGUCUUGAGAGAACAGAUCAUUGUAACAAAAUUAAACAUGAAAACCUCUGUUAUACCAGCUGGGAAGAUGAGCAAAACAUCAACAAGUUUAGAAGAUUGAACAAUCUAUUUCAUGAAAUCAGAGUAGCUAAGGAAACAAAUGAGAAUGUGGAGGACCCAAGCAAUGAGUUGAUCCUUUACGGACGAGGGGAUGGUUAAAUUGCAGACAUUGCAUGGAGGUUUUGUAAGACAAAUUCAUGCAAUGAUUCAAUAUACUUGGAGAAUUCUCAGUAUGUAUCCUGUGGUUGUCAAACUUGUUGACAUUCUUGCUGGGAUAAAAAAAAAAGUUAGUUGAUUAUAUAU